AGACCGCGAGCCGUGUCUGAGCCCUUGCGACGAAUGUAUGACACAUAAACAUUGGCCACGCUGGGGUGAUUAAACUCCCGGCAGUUCAAGAGCAUGGGCGCUUGGCCAGCACGAGGAAGUGUUGUGCGACGUUGUGGAAAACCAGCUUUUUGCGCUGCUUAAGUUAGUUAAGCUAAAUCGACAGUCUUCGCAUGCCCUCCUCGUUUACUGUCGCUCUGUAAUGCGUCAAUGUGCUUUUCGUGCGUGCCCAAACCACGAGAACUCUGUUUUCCACAAGAUAAAGUAGUCCGGCGGCGGUAGCACCCGCGGCGUGUAUUCGGGAACUGGCGCUGCUUGCCCCCUUAGCUGUGUUAGGCUUAGGAAGGGGCCCGCAAUUGGCCCUUAAGCGAUCCCCCCGUAUCCGCGCGGGUAUUCUACUACUAGAAGGGAAAACAAGUGUAACAUAGCAACUACUGUAAAUAACCAUUCCCUCUCAGAUGCCUUGUUUUUAUACUUGUGUCUGUGAUAUUUCCGGACUUCGGCGUUUUGGCCUGUGCGAGAAUCGGCCGUUUAGGCCUAGUGGUUCAGGUGAUCCACUCAACCCACUUCGUACGCUACGAAGCUGCAAUAGUUGUACAAUAGUAUAAAUAGGAAAACAAACCGGACACCUAGGAGGUGAGCGCCAACUUAGGACUGGACUCUUUAAACGGUUUUUUUGUGUGUGUGAGUGCGCGGAAACAAGAGUGGACAAGUGCUUCAAAUAACGUCCCAUCGUCCAGCGAACAAUCAUGAGCGGAGACACGAAGCGGAAAAGCAAGAGCAACACGAGCAGGCCGGCCAGAUCGAAAGUUUCUCAGGAUCGCAAGCUCGAAGGCAUAUACAACAAUGCCCGCUUUGUCCACAUUGCUGCAUCACUUGUGGGUCAUGUUGUCCAAGUGCAAGUCCGGGACGGAGAGGUUUUCGAGGGUGUAUUCCGGACAGUUUCGCCGGAGCUUGAGGUAGUGCUGGAGACCGCUCACCCUGUGGAGCCAGGGUCACAGUCGGAGCCGUCGUCCCUGUCGCGGCUGCUGACCUCGCUGGGCCGGGACCAGCGGCUCGUGCAGCUGAUGAUAUUCCGGCUGUCGGAUGUUGUCUCGCUGUGCGCACCUAACGCGGACUUGGACUAUGCCACGCGGGACUCCUUCACGGACACGGCCAUCAGCAAGUUCAACGGCCAGCUUGGUGAGCGCCCUCUCGAGCCCUGGAUGGAUGGCGGCAACUCCGACAGCAUCGGCGGCCUCGAUGACCCUCCACUGGAUGGGGAGGACACCAAUGGCUGGGACGCCAAUGAGAUGUUCAAGACAAACGCCGAGAAGUAUGGGGUGACGACAUCAUACGACAGUGCACUCUCGAGCUACACCGUCAAGCUGGAGCCCAAGAACACGGACGAGUACAAGCUGCAAGAGGCCAAGGCGUCCAAGAUUGCCCAGGAGAUCGAGAGCAACCCGGUGUUCAAGAAGCGCAUCGAGGUGGAGAACGGGGACGAGGAGGACAAGUUCAGCGCGGUGGUGCGACCCUCUGGUGACAACACACCACAGGGCGCCAGGUAUGUGCGGCGGAAGCCCCUGGGCGGAUCCAAGCCCCUUCGUGGCACACCGCCCCCGGCAGCGGCGGCUGCGGGCGGCCUGCCUCGUGGGGGCCUGCCUGGCUUCAAGGGGGGCCUGGGUAGCCCGUCUUCCUCGUCGCCCUCGGCUCCACUGCCCCCCAAGCCGCACCAUCCACCCAAGCACGGGCCGCCCCACACGGCCGCUGCCUUCCCAGAGCUCGACACUUCCCCACGGCUCAAUGGGGCCCCUAAGCUUGAGAAGGAAGGCCCACUAAGCCCUGGCUUGUGCGAGGGGCCUGUGCCUGACGACGCUUCCGUGGUGGCCUUGGCCGACGAGCCGCCUGCCGUGGACAAGGGGCCUGCGGACCGCAAGGGGCCACCACCUCCGCUCCAGAAGGGCCGUGUUCAGGAGAUCGAGGAAUUCAAGAAGUUUAGCACCAGCAUCAAGCUUGACGAGGGCAAGGAGUCCAAGGAGGCUGGUGUUGCUGCUGCAACGGAAGAGGAGGAGAAGGAGCGUAAGGAGAUGGAUGAAGCCGCCACUGCCAAGGAGGAGACGGACCGGCUCGUCAAGAAGUCCACCCUCAACCCCAAUGCCAAGGAGUUUGUGCUCAACCCCAAUGCAAAGGCCUUCACUCCGCGCACCCUGCUACCUCUGACGAGUCCGCCCAACGGCGCCGGUGGCAGCGGCGGCGCAGUGGCCACGACCCCGACAGGCGGUGUGCGACUCAGCUCAAGCCCCCUGGUGGGUCCCCCCUCGGCUGGGGUCGGCCAGGCGCCUCCGCAGCAGCUGAUGCCCGCCGGGCAGCACAUCAUCACCAUGGCACCCCAGUACCUGAUGCCUGCCACCCCCGUCAGCGUGGCACAGUUUGCACCUGGACAGGGACCACGCUUCCGCAAGGCCAUGCCCCUUGUCCAAACGAGGCACGACCUUCCGGCUUCUAUGCACGUGGCUGCAGCAACAGGCCAGCCCAUCCUGGCGCCUGCCGGCCUGCCCAACGCCCCUCAACUGAUGGUGCAGUACACACCAGCGCAGGGCAUGAUGCACCCGUCUGGGCCACCACAGGCGACCGUGGCCUACCAGCAGGCUCAGUGUUUUGGGCCCCUGGCACAGAUGUACCCCAUGGUGGGCCAUCGGGUCAUGUCCCCGCAGCCCAUGGGCAUGGUCGCUGCAACCCACACAGCCUCCUAUGGCGAUGCAACGCACCUCCCUGCGCAGGUUUACAUGCUGCAAGGCCAGGGUCACCAAGCCACCAGCACGGGGGGUGGCCCAGCACUCCAGCCCGCCAACACCGGGAGCAAGCACGCCCGUGGGCGGGGCACAGGCAGGCACGCCCCCGGUUCGUCUACCAUCCGCCACCGCCCCCCUCUGCCGGCUCAGGCCCGCCUCCGCCUCCGCAACCCAAUCUGGUGCUGGUGCCCCACUCGGGGGCUAACACUCCCCCCCACCUGAUGCCCCACAGUCCUAUGGUGCCCCCACAGUUGGCCACUGCACACUUUGUGCACCACCAGGUGUUCCCCAGGCUGCUGCCACCAGGUGUUUGAAGAAGCCUGAAGAAAUUAGGUAAAGGAAAAAAUAGACAGUGCUAGAAGAAUUAAGUUAUUGCGCUCACCUCCAUGCCCUAUCCCCCUCCCCAAUCCCCUCCGCUGAAGAUGGAAGAAGAAUUCUGGUAUAAUGACUGACAGCAGCAGCCUCAAUUCGGACCUGGGGAAAACAAGAAAUCAUACGAAUACUGUGAAGAUCAAGCUGUACUUGCUCCAUCCAGCAAGCCAAAAAGCAAGCUGACAAGCAAGCAGUAGUCUGGCAUUCGUCGCAAGCGUCUCUAAAGCCCCCGCCCCCUGCACACACCCCGAAACGAAAAAAAAAGAUGCCAAGUUCCAUUGGGGGAAGAUGGGUCGAAGGAAAUAUUUGGAGCGUUCGCCGAGGCUUCCACUUGCUUGGCAGCGAGCGUUGAAAGCGGUCGCUCUCUCUCUCUCCUCCUGCGCUGAGGGGGAGGGAGCUUGUUUAGGGAAACAACCAAAUGAACAGAAGAAACUAAGAAAAAAAAAGAUUGAAGAGAAACAAAUGUUUACUAGUAAAACGCAGGCAG